GGUACUGGAAUGUUCAGAGGUCUCCAUGGAGCCUUCUCUUGCCCAGGCUGAACAACCCCAACUCUCUCAGCUUGUCUUCAUAGGACAGGCACUUCAGCCCUCUCAGCAUCUUUGUGGCUGUUCUCUGGACUUGCUCCAACAGGCAGUUGUAGAGAACAAUAAGGUGUCCUCAAGCCUCCAUUUCUCUAGGCUAAACAACCUGAGCUCCCUCAAAAAGAAUGUGCAAAGAAAACAACUUCUGCAGAGGAGACUUUCUAUGUAGGACUUCUCUUCACUGCUCAAUGGGAAAAUGAGUGAAUGACAGCGUGUUAGAAAUUGAGAAGAAGCUUCAUACAUUCAAAGACGCUGUUCCUGACCUCUUGUUCAGCAGAGAGAGAAAAUAAAGCAACAUCUACAAAACUUCUGUGCUUGGAAGCAACACAAGUUCUCUUGGACACCUGAAAGGUUCUUUCUCUCCCAUUCUUCCUUAACAGGUAUUAUUUUUGAUCUAAAGACACAGAAACAAGGACUGCAUAAAACACAAUGGAACAAACACUUAAAAAUGGAGUAUCAUCCUUACAGAAAGCAUCUGAUCGAUUAAAUUACCAUUAUUUCCCCUUCCCCCUCUAGCCUUACAGUAUGCAAAUAGAAUAAACAAUCAAAUUCACAUUGAAGUCCAGGGCUUCAUUCUUUUCUAGUUCAAACAUGUUUCAGAACAGACUAGGCUCCAUUUGUAUACACAUAUAUUAAAGAAAGAACGCAUUUCAAUUAAAAAAAACCCUCCAUGUUUCAAGCUGCUUAUAUCUUAAACAUACACAUACAUUUCACACAUCGGGGGAACAAGCACACACAACCAACCCCAAGCAGUUAACUCCUAGCACCCUUCCUUUGUUCAGCUCCCACAAAUUUCUGCUGCUGGUGGGUGUAAGUCUUUUGAACUUCUUGAAAGAAAGAGAAAACUGUAGCUCAGUGUGUUUAACCGUGUGCUUUCCAGUUCUGCAGGCAGAACUUGAAAAGGAGCAAUAUGAAUGUGUGGUGAGCAGCUCACAACAUUCCCUGGGGCUUUUCUGUUCUUUCUGCAACUGUUCAUCAAUUUCAGUAGGACACACAAUGGGACCCCGAGUAUCUGUGUGUCUCAGACAUCGCUCAGUUAACUUUACUCAGCAACAAGAGGAAGAGAAAUACUUUUAGCUUUGCUGUCUGGGUUGAAAGUUGAAAUGAGCUGGUUCAACCAGAAUGCUGGAGAGUGUGCCCACUACUCUGCAUGAAGAAAAUGCCUGUCUAUUAGAGGUUCUGGUUGUAUUCCUCAUACCUACCCUAGCUUUUAAAUACCAUAAAAUAUACCCAUUUUGUUAGCUUGGAAGGGCAUGCCUUCUAUAGCUAAUGCCUUGUAACAAUAUUAACAGAUACAGUCAUAACAACUAUUGCAAGGCCAGAGAAAGAAAGGAAACUACUGCUGACCUGACUACAGCACAGAAGUUUACAAAUAUGUUAUGUAGUCAGAAGGAAAAAAAUAGUUUGAAGAAAAGAUGAAAUUUAAGAAAUAGAGUAAGAAAAUCUAAGGAGGCCACUGCCAAGAAUCUGUAAACAGGAAAGGCUCUUUAGAAGAGAAUACCAAAACAGACAAGUACCCAGAAAAGUAGAAGGGAGCUUUAUUUCAUGUUUGCUACAGUUUAUAGACUCACACCCAGAUAUAGCAAUAAAAUAAAUGCCUACUUCAUUAAAUCAGAUUCAUAGUGCACCCAAGAAAUUCUACCCAUGCUUGGUCAGAAAGGAACACAUAAAAUCUCUGUCACACAUUUGCCUAACUCAAGAUCAAGCUGCCAAACUGAUGAGCAAACCCAAGCAAAAUCUUCAAAAAUCCUGUUUUUGUAACAAGCUCGAUAAGGACGAUCCACUCUGACCAGGUGGAAGCCAUUGUCCCUUUCUUUUGGAAAUCAGCACCUCGGCAACCUCCCUUAAGCUGGGGUUGUGCUGCUUCAUGAGAGGUGAGAGUCUGUGAAAGGUCAGAGAUUGGUGAGAGGUCAAAUAAGGGAGAAAGAAAAAACAACAUGUACAAUAAGCAUCUUCCCAUUAUAUCCUAAGGCUGCACAUUUGUCUUUCUCAGGUUGGGAAGAGAAGGGAGGUUGGGCCCUGCGCUGCUCUCUGGGGAAAGGCUGCUCUGCCAGCCUGCCUCUGACUCACUGUUGUGACAUCUGGUAUUAAAGCUUAGGUAGUUUGAAGAUCAGUGGAAAAGAGCAUUUAAAAACCUGUUAUUUCGCCUGUUCAUUUGAUUUUUAAAUAACUGUGUUAACUCUUAUUUACCACAUCAGGCCUCUGAAUAUACUGAGCAUUGUUCCAAGUUAUUGUAACCUUCCCUCUUAAAGUGGAUUUAAGCCAUUAUGGUCUAUCACAUAAAUCCUUCUUAGUUUGUGGAUUAUUGACCUGAUAGGCCCAAACAGCUCCAUCUGUCCUUUUAAAUGGGCAUGAAUGCUGUGUGUGUUUAUUGCAUUCAAUCCUAUUAUUUGCAAAAGGCUAGCUUUCUCUGUCUCCGCGUAUGUGUGUGUGUUUGUGCUUAGUAUUCAGGGACAGUUUAUUGUCAAAUUGUUGUCUACUCUCUUUUAAAUAUAGGGCUUUCCAGUGCAAAGUGCCCCCAUACAGUAGCAUAAGUGAAUGUACUGCUACUCGACUUGGGGAAAUUAAGCUGUUGACUUAGAGCCAGCCUUUGAGAGUGAUGUAAAAGUUGAUAGACUGGAAGAACAUUUGAAAGUGAAAAGGGACUCCCUUUUGAAAUGUUUAUGUGAAUCAAGUCUGAGUUAAUGAAGCUUUUAUAGUCAUAAAGUUACUUUCAGAUAUCUGCUCUAAGUGGUUCUUUUGAAAGAGCUAGAAUGAUGCUCUAACGGACAUUUGUUGAAGUGAAAACAGGAGUAAAAUAGAUUAUUACCUGUUGAUAUGUAUCAGGGUGAGAGUAUGCAGAGAAAAACAGGCAUUUUUCAUUGGUCAGUAUUUGUGGGUCAAAUAAUUUUACAAAGACUGAGUUAAUAAUUUUGAUGUGUUGAGUCAAAUAAUUUCUAAUGGAAAUUUUAAAGUGCUAUGAAAAGGUUCCCUUUGCAAGGAAGCCUGUUCUUUUCUGUCCCAAGGGUACCCUACACACAGAGUUAUUCCUGUUAGGCAAUAUACUGAAAAGCCUGGAGACCAAAUAUGAAGACAAAAAUCUGCAAAAUGUGGUUGCUACCUUAGCCUGAUGGAUUUCAUUGGUGCACUUCUGUCCUCUUCCUAUGGGUAGGACAUUCCACCUGGUACCAGGAGGCCAGGCCAUGCAGAACAUGUGGAUGUGGCAUUCCCAGUAUGCAGAAUGCUUUGCCUCUGAUGUGGCUGGAUUCCCUUUGCAACAAAGGUUCGUGGAAAGGAGACAUUCUAGGAAGUCUAGUCAAUAAUAUUUUAAGAUCUUACAGAAACUAAAAAAACACUUUGCAGAUGGCCUGUAAUAGCUUUUGUAUACAAAAAUAAGACAUGUCUUAGGUCUGACACUUGGUACAGAGUGGUUUGUAACUGCCUUAUACUCUUUUAUAACAUAUGUAUGCAAGGGACACACAGAUGUUUUUUUGGGGAUGGGGAAACUCAGGAAAGUGGGAGGAUAUUUUUGGCAAGCUAUUUUUGCAGAAGAAAUGCUAGGUGCCAGCACCUUCUCAAAUCCAGAACUAUGGCCAAAAUUUGAGUGAAGCUGUGAAACACCUUUGGUCAUACUGUUUUAUGUAAGAUGGUGUUAUUCUAAGUAUGCUUGUAUAAUACUCAGAGCUCAGUCCAUUUACUGCCUUUUUUUUUUUUUUUUUUCUUUCUCCUUAUUUAAGUGAUUUAUUAGGGUUUUUUUUAAGGGAUCUGGACCCUCUGACCCAUCCAUUAUUGGACCAUUGACUCACUGUAGGGCUUACCCAUGGCUAAAUCUUGUUCUAAACAGAGAGCUUCCAUAAAACACUUCCUCCUUGAAGUGGAAAUCAUUGUAUCCUAGGUGCUUACACAUGUUUUGGCAGGGAGAAAAGUGGUGGCCUCUGGAGACAGUUCACCAAGCAGUUUUUGGGAGAGGGCAUCAGCUUCCCUGGCUUAAGCAAUUGGAAAUUCUGUGGUAAUACAAAUUCAAGGCAAAAGUUUGAAGUGUUUAGGAAACUUUCACUUCCCUUUUAGCAUCAAACAGAACAUUGGUUUUUGGGGAUGAGCACAUUUAAUCCUGCCAUGCUGGAUACUUAGCCUAAUGGAAAAAAAGAGUGAUCCAGAUGUUCAGCUGCACCUUGGGCAACUGUUUUAGCAACAGUUAUGAAAUGCUGAUAUGCCUGAAGAUAUGGAAGACAGUGAUAAAGAACAUUUCUGCAGCAUUAAAAAUUAAAGCUUUGCUCUCUGAAGUGUAAGCAGAACACUACCUAGCAUUCUGCAUAUAUCAUAUCCAUAAGCUUUACAAUGAUGUCUAGAAUUCCAAGUGAAUAUGGUUUCCUUAUUGUAUAGUAUUAACUAUUGUUCCAUAUUAACUAUUAAUAUAACGUAUUAACUAUUUAGUAACUAUCAUUAACUAACUAGCAUUAUCCUACAGAAAUGGAAACUGAACAUCUGAUAGAGGAGCAUCUAAGAAAUAAAUUUGUGCAUAUAUGUUUUAUCAUAUAUAUAAUAUAUACAUAUAAACACUAAAACUAUGUAGCAAAUAUUACCCACAGUCACCCUAGGUACCAAUAGAUAUAUUUAACACUGAGACAUUUCAAGGAAAAAAAUCAGUAAAUUUAUGUUUCUCCCAACUUAGGCUCAUUAAAAGACUGAGAUGAAAUUACCAAACCCCUUUUGUUGGAGAGGUUUCUCUGAACCAAACACAGGUUUUCCAUUGGGGAAAGGGAACUGAGCUUGCUACAGAAAGCUUAACUCCAUCACCCUGAAUGAACAUGGGGCCAGAAGGGAACUUUUUCAGUGCUCGCUGUUUCUGUUUUAACAUUUCAGCCACUGGGAGGAGGGAGAAGGCUUUAGUGUAUUACUGGAAGCUAUUUAUUUUAUGAACUGUACCAAUUUACUUGGCGACUAAAUAGGUUUCUGAGUUUAUAUUCACAGUAAUCAGGUUUAUCUAGUUAGGUUAUAAAACUGAACUUAUUAAUCAGGCACAAGGGAGGAUGGGUUUUGAACAAGUUUUUUUAUAGCUAUUUUAGUUGCUAGAGCACUGUUUUGACUUUAAUACAGUCCUAAAAGCUGAUCCAAAGAAUUGUGAAGGCUGAAGGGACAAAAUCACUGGUGUAGUAUUUUAUUAAAGCAGCUCACAUUAUACUGAGGCUUGUAAACUGACCUGUUUCUGUGAAAGCCACUCUUCUGCAUCUUGUUUUGAUGUGCUAAUAAAAAUGAAAGGACAUUCUGUAGACACUUGCAAGCUUUGGGACCAGGAGACUGAAAUGUAAGGGGUAAGACAGUACACAUUCUUUGAUAGGAAACUGGUCCAUACAUGGGUUCAUGCAUUCUUCUUAUGAUAAAGGGUAUGCAACAAAACAAAUUGUUAUCCAUAGGUCUUUCAGCUUGAAACAGAGCAAUGAAAACUCAGAAGGUGGUUAUAAUCUCAAAGCCCACCACUAGCUGGGAACAUAACAUAGUACAGGUCUCAUUACUGGCUAGAGUUCUUUUAAGCUAUACUGUAUUUACUGAUGUCAUUUAAAGGGGAAAGAAUGAUGAAUGCUCAAUUAAUUGUAAAAUAAAAACCACAGAGGAAACAUCUGACUAUUUUAAUAUGCAUAUAUGAAUGAUAUUCAUGGCUGCAUAAUUAAUUUUAACAUGAAAUAGCCAGUUUUGCAAUAAACCAGUUCUCCAGAAUGGGCCAAUUCUACUAAGACUUCAUUAAAAAUUUCAUCCUGAGCCAGGUGGGAAGACUGAGGCCAGUCAAAUCCAUUGAAGGCUGUGGAAUGUGAUCAUGAUGUUUGAAAAUUGAAGCAUUUCAAAGUGAAAGUGACUGUGAAUAACCACUGGGAUAUUUGGGUAAUGCUAAGCCAAGCUGGUAGGGGAUUUCAUAUACUGGAAUGAAUUCUGCAGCACCUAGCUCCAGAAACCUUGAGCUCAGUGAAUCCUGAUGGGCUGCUGGCUAGGCAGGUUUGGCAGUCUGGGAUGUGCAGUUUCUCAGGUGAGGGCUCUCUCUCCUCUUUUUUGUUGAAUUCGGCUUCCAUCACAGAAUAAGGCAGCUUCUAGGGUAGCUGAAAUAUGCAGCCCACCUCUGCUCCUCCGUGCACCACUGGAGAGGUGCAAAAACUCUGCAGGAUCACAGUUGACCCCUAAUCACAGACACAAAGCCAUGCUCUGUCCGGAUCUCUGCUUGUAGCCUGCAGGAAAAAAGUGGUGAAGAACGAAGCAUGCAGAGGAGUUUUAGCUGGAGGACUUCAACUGUCCUUGUACCUUCUUAGUUAUAGGGAGUUGUCCUAGAACAUAGUGAUGAGUCUGUGGAAGCCAAAACUGGCCCUUUUUAUCAAAAUAUCUUUGUUCUUUUAAAAUCAUUUUAAACCAGUAGAGUCUCUACAAGAAAACUGAGCAUGACUGAGUAGAGCUUUCUUUUCAAGUAGUGAAAGUCAACACAAUGUUCUGAAAUCACAGUGAAUAUCACAUUCCUGACAGCUUGAUGGCGUCUCCACAUGCUGAGAUGAAAUGAUGCAGAGGAGCAUAGAUUAUCUGAUAAAUAUCUACACUGAUCCCAAAUGGUCCCAAAGGAGAAAGGUGUUCUGUCUUAUGAGGAUUUUACUGUGUUGCUCUCUACUCCCUCAAGAGAUGUGUCUGCCUAUGAGCACUGUGCAAAUAAAAAGCACCAUUUACAGAAAAGAACCUUCUUUUAGCUCUGCAGCAGCUGCAAAUCCCGAGAAUGAUCUUGUUCACCUCUUAGACACCAGAAAAACUUUUGUGGUGGAACUAUCAUAAAGCUUUAUGUUCAUAUAGCACCUCUAUGACAGCUUUUCAGGAGAGGCCUGUGUGUAAUUCCCUCAUAAAAAUAAUGAGUGAAUAAUCGUUGGCAGUAUACAUGCAAAUUGGCUUUCCAAAGCAUGGAGCCACAAGAUAAAGUUUAUCAAUCAAGGGCACCAAAGCAAUUGUGAGCAGUCCCCAGAGAAUUAAUCCUUCAAGAAUGCAUGAAAUCAAUCUGGCAGCCUCUGAAAUAUGCAGUCCAGUUGCUUAUGUCCAUACAAAUAUUCACCCUCUCACCAAGAAGGAACUAAGCAGUGCAGAUUAAAAGGACUGUUUCAGGACUGAAACAGUCACUCUGCAGCAAGAAGCCAAAUAAAAACUGAUAAUUAUUUUAUCUGUGCUGAACAACAUUGUAAGCAAAUUGCACAUAAUGAUGACAAAAUACCAUCAGCAACAUGACAGUCUCCUCUUGUAUGCUGGGGCAUUUGGCACACAGCACUGCCGAGUCAAAUGUUUGUUACCUUUCUGAUGACUGAUGUUUGUAUUUUUGUCUGUUGCUUUACACUCUUGCUUCAAUAAAGAUUUUUUAUACUGUU